rnacentral:rRNA from 1 species
AUGAACGCUAGCGGCAGGCUUAAUACAUGCAAGUCGUGGGGCAGCAGGUUUGUAGCAAUACAGAUGCUGGCGACCGGCAAACGGGUGCGGAACACGUACAGAACCUUCCUUUGAGCGGGGAAUAGCCCAGAGAAAUUUGGAUUAAUACCCCCAUAGUAUAAUGAAGUGGCAUCACUUUAUUAUUAAAGAUUUAUCACUCGAAGAUGGCUGUGCGGCUGAUUAGGUAGUUGGCGGGGUAAAGGCCCACCAAGCCUGCGAUCAGUAACCUGGUGUGAGAGCACGACCAGUCACACGGGCACUGAGACACGGGCCCGACUCCUACGGGAGGCAGCAGUAAGGAAUAUUGGUCAAUGGAGGCAACUCUGAACCAGCCAUGCCGCGUGGAGGAUGAAGGUCCUCUGGAUUGUAAACUUCUUUUAUAUGGGACGAAAAAAGGCUUUUCUAAGUCGUCUGACGGUACCAUAUGAAUAAGCACCGGCUAACUCCGUG